rnacentral:rRNA from 1 species
CCUACGGGCGGCAGCAGUGAGGAAUAUUGGUCAAUGGGCGCGAGCCUGAACCAGCCAAGUAGCGUGAAGGAUGACUGCCCUACGGGUUGUAAACUUCUUUUAUAAAGGAAUAAAGUGAGGCACGUGUGCCUUUUUGUAUGUACUUUAUGAAUAAGGAUCGGCUAACUCCGUGCCAGCAGCCUCGGUAAUACGGUGGAUCCGAGCGGUAUCCGGAUUUACUGGGUUUAAAGGGAGCGUAGAUGGGUUGUUAAGUCAGUUGUGAAAGUUUGCGGCUCAACCGUAAAAUUGCAAUUGAUACUGGCAGUCUUGAGUACAGUUGAGGUCGGCGGAAUUCGUGGUGUAGCGGUGAAAUGCUUAGAUAUCACGAAGAACUCCGAUUGCGAAGGCAGCUUACUAGACUGCCACUGACAUUGAUGCUCGAAAGUGUGGGUAGCAAACAGGAUUAGAUACCCCAGUAGUC